rnacentral:rRNA from 1 species
UACGGGGGGGGCAAGCGUUGUUCGGAAUUACUGGGCGUAAAAGGGCUCGUAGGCGGCCAACUAAGUCGGAUGUGAAAUCCCCCAGGCUCAACCUGGGAACUGCAUCCGAUACUGGAUGGCUUGAAUUCGGGAGAGGGAUGCAGAAUUCCAGGUGUAGCGGUGAAAUGCGUAGAUAUCUGGAGGAAUACCGGUGGCGAAGGCGGCAUCCUGGACCGACAUUGACGCUGAUGAGCGAAAGCUAGGGGGAGCAAACGGG